GAGAGAAAAAAAUCCAGAAAAUCACAUUGUACGAUUUUUAAUGAAUUUAUUUGCAAAUUAUGGUGGAAAAUAAGUAUUUGGUCAAUGACAAAAGUUUAUCUCAAUACUUUGUUAUAUACCCUUUGUUGGCAAUGACAGAGGUCAAACGUUUUCUGUAAGUCUUCACAAGGUUUUCACACACGGUUGCUGGUAUUUUGGCCCAUUCCUCCAUGCAGAUCUCCUCUAGAGCAGUGAUGUUUUGGGGCUGUUGCUGGGCAAUACGGACUUUCAACUCCCUCCAAAGAUUUGCUAUGGGGUUGAGAUCUGGAGACUGGCUUGGCCACUCCAGGACCUUGAAAUGCUCCUUAUAAAGCCACUCCUUCGUUGUCCGGGCGGUGUGUUUGGGAUCAUCGUCAUGCUGAAAGACCCAGCCACGCUUCAUCUUCAAUGCCCUUGCUGAUGGAAAGAUGUUUUCACUCAAAAUCUCACGAUACAUGGCCCCAUUCAUUCUUUCCUUUACACGGAUCAGUCGUCCUGGUCCCUUUGCAGAAAAACAGCCCCAAAGCAUGAUGUUUCCACCCCCAUGCUUCACAGUAGGUAUGAUGUUCUUUGGAUGUUUCUUUGCAUUCUUUGUCCUCCAAACACAACGAGUUGAGUUUUUACCAAAAAGUUAUAUUUUGGUUUCAUCUGACCAUAUGACAUUCUCCCAAUCUUCUUCUGGAUCAUCCAAAUGCUCUCUAGCAAACUUCAGAUGGGCCUGGACAUGUACAGGCUUAAGCAGGGGGACACGUCUAGCACUGCAGGAUUUGAGUCCCUGGCGGCGUAGUGUGUUACUGAUGGUAGGCUUUGUUACUUUGGUCCCAGCUCUCUGCAGGUCAUUCACUAGGUCCCCCCGUGUAGUUCUGAGAUUUUUGCUCACCGUUCUUGUGAUCAUUUUGUCCCACGGGGUGAGAUCUUGCGUGGCGCCCCAGAUCGAGGGAGAUUAUCAGUGGUCUUGUAUGUCUUCCAUUUCCUAAUAAUUGCUCCCACAGUUGAUUUCUUCAAACCAAGCUGCUUACCUAUUGCAGAUUCAGUCUCCCCAGCCUGGUGCAGGUCUACAAUUUUGUUUCUGGUGUCCUUUGACAACGCUUUGGUCUUGGCCAUAGUGGAGUUUGGAGUAUGACUGUUUGAGGUUGUGGACAGGUGUCUUUUAUACAGAUAACAAGUUCAAACAGGUGCCAUUAAUACAGGUAAUGAGUGGAGGACAGAGGAGCCUCUUAAAGAAGAAGUUACAGGUCUGUGAGAGCCAGAAAUCUUGCUUGUUUGUAGGUGACCAAAUAGUUAUUUUCCACCAUAAUUUGCAAAUAAAUUCAUAAAGAAAUCAUACAAUGUGAUUUUCUGGAUUUUUUUUUCUCUCAUUUUGUCUGUUGACGUUGAAGUGUACCUUUGAUGAAAAUUACAGGCCUCUCUCAUCUUUUUAAGUGGGAGAACUUGCACAAUUGGUGGCUGACUAAAUACUUUUUUGCCCCACUGUAUUUAUAUUUAAUUCAUCUGCAAACAUUUCUGAAAACAUGUUUUUGCUUAGCCAUUAAACAAUUUAAUCCAUUUUUAAAUGAGGCUGUAAUGUAACUAAAUGUGCGAAAAGUCAAGGGGUUUGAAUACUUUAUGAAUGCACUGGGAGACUGUUUAGUGACACAAAUAAGGGCUUAAGAGUAAGCCUAUACAAAUCUCUCCUCUCAUCUGUACUGUGGCCAGGCUUCAAUGUUGUUAGUCAUACAGUAUUGUUAGUUUAAUUUCAUCAUUCCGGAAAAAAUAUCAGCAUUAGUGAUACCACAACAAGGACAGUCAGUAAAUAUAGUAAGAAAAAGAUUGGCAAGAUUCUGUACCACAGAAAUUCAUAUGAUAUGGUAAGCAAUUGGAAAAAUGAUUCUAUAAGCUCCAUAAGGAAAACAACUGUAGAAGACGUUUAUAAAUAAUAUUGGAUAGAAAGGACAACCCUGUCUGUUUAAUUUAUGAUUCUCAACACUCUGCUUCAACAAAGAUCCCAGAUAUUGCAGCAAAAUUAAAUGUUUUCAUUUUUCAUUGUUUAAGAUAAAGUAUUGUGGGAUUGUUUGUGUUUGUGAAUAUGAUGAUUUACUGUUUGUGCCUCCCCUUCAUCUUUUUUCCAACACUUGCAAAAUAGAGUAUGUAAGUGCUGAUCGAACUAAAUGGCAAGUUAAUGUAUGUUAUUACAAAUUAAUUGAUUAUGUCUGCUUUAUGUACUGACCUAUUAAAAAUGAAGAAAAAUAAAAAAUAAAAAUUACAGUGCCUGGAUAUUUAUGAAUUAUCUAUAGAAAACAUGAAAAUGUGUUGAGCAUGUUAAUUUUUAUACAAGAUAUUUCUAAUAAAAUACUGUUUUGCAAA
ensembl:lncRNA